rnacentral:rRNA from 1 species
CCUACGGGAGGCAGCAGUGGGGAAUAUUGGACAAUGGGCGCAAGCCUGAUCCAGCCAUGCCGCGUUUGUGAAGAAGGCUCUAGGGUUGUAAAGCACUUUCAGUUGUGAGGAAAGGUUAGUAGUUAAUACCUGCUAGCUGUGACGUUAACAACAGAAGAAGCACCGGCUAACUCCGUGCCAGCAGCCGCGGUAAU